GGGCGCGUAGCUCAGCGGUAAGAGCGGCUGGCUCAUAACCAGAGGGUCGCGGGUUCAAAUCCCGCCACGCCCACCA
rnacentral:tRNA from 1 species